UACGUAGGUGGCAAGCGUUGUCCGGAAUUAUUGGGCGUAAAGCGCGCGCAGGUGGUUUCUUAAGUCUGAUGUGAAAGCCCACGGCUCAACCGUGGAGGAUCAUUGGAAACUGGGGAACUUGAGUGCAGGAGAGAAGAGUGGAAUUCCACGUGUAGUGGUGAAAUGCGUAGAGAUGUGGAGGAACACCAGUGGCGAAGGCGGUUACCUGGAGCUUUGCUGACGCUGAUGCGCGAAAGCGUGGGGAGCGAUCCGG
rnacentral:rRNA from 1 species